AGCUCCAAUAGCGUAUAUUAAAGUUGCUGCAGUUAAAAAGCUCGUAGUUGGAUUUCUGACCUUCAACAUUUCGCCGGCCACGGUUUCGUGUGUUAGUGCUUGAUGUUCUGGUCAUCCUUCCAAUCGCUGCCGCUUUGCUCUUCAUUGAGUGGGGCGCGGUAUUGGAUCUUUUACUUUGAAAAAAUUAGAGUGUUUCAAGCAGGCUUUAUGCUAUGAAUACAUUAGCAUGGAAUAAUAAUUUAGGACUUCGGUUCUAUUUUGUUGGUUUCUAGGACUGAAGUAAUGAUUGAUAGGGAUAGUUGGGGGUGCUAGUAUUCAGCGGCCAGAGGUGAAAUUCUCGGAUUCGCUGAAGACUAACUUAUGCGAAAGCAUUCACCAAGGAUGUCUUCU
rnacentral:rRNA from 1 species